rnacentral:rRNA from 1 species
CCUACGGGUGGCAGCAGUGAGGAAUAUUGGUCAAUGGACGCAAGUCUGAACCAGCCAUGCCGCGUGCAGGAUGACGGCUCUAUGAGUUGUAAACUGCUUUUGUACGAGGGUAAACCCCGAUACGUGUAUCGGGUUGAAAGUAUCGUACGAAUAAGGAUCGGCUAACUCCGUGCCAGCAGCCGCGGUAAUACGGAGGAUCCGAGCGUUAUCCGGAUUUAUUGGGCGUAAAGCGCUCGUAGGCGGUAUGUCAAGUCAAGGGUGAAAUCCCCGCGCUCAACGUGGGAACUGCCUUUGAAACUGGCAAACUGGAGUGUGUGAGAGGAUAGUGGAAUUCCAGGUGUAGGAGUGAAAUCCGUAGAUAUCUGGAGGAACAUCAGUGGCGAAGACGACUAUCUGGCACAUAACUGACGCUGAGGAGCGAAAGCGUGGGUAGCAAACAGGAUUAGAUACCCCUGUAGUC